CGGCUGGCCAGUACCCUCCCCAGGAAGGACCAGGCCCCCGGAGGUCGAUGCCUGGUCGCCGCCGCUGUUGUUCACGGCCCAGACUAACCUGUGACCACCUGCAUCCCGAAUGGCGCUUGGGAGCGGCCCCCAGGCCCGAGCCCCCCCGGAGACGGUUGUCUCACCCGCACAGAUCUCGUUUUCGUCAGGUCUGACUUAAGGACCACCGCCGACGCUGAGUCCUGAGCCUGGAGACUUGACUUCUGGCCUAAGGGAGCCUCUCGUCGGCUGGGGCCCGCUGUCCCCAGGGCCCCUGAAGCUGAGGGGCGGCCGCCCCCUGUUGGUGAUUCAUGGACCCGCCGUCCCCGCGCCGCCACCUGGCCCCGUCACUCCUGGCCGAGCAAGGCCUGGCCUCUGGAGGCAUUUGCACGUGCCCUCCACCCAGCAAAGUGGAGCUAUUAUUAUCCCACGAGGAACGAGGGCCUUUGGAAUGAGCCUCUGAGCUGCUGGCCGGGGCCUCCUUGACUUUGCCGUGACAUUGGGCCGGGAGACCUGGGCUCGUGGGCGUUCUCUGGGUGGCCCGGCCUGGGGGGCAGGGAAGAGGGCAGCGAGCCUUCACCAGGGCCUCGGCUGGGCCCAGGAGACCAGUGGGGAGGCCCAGUUUUCUCCCUGCGGCCUCUUCACAGCCUGAGCAGCAGCGUGAGAGCAGUUAGGGUGGCACCUCCAGCCUCUCCGUGUCUCGGCCUCUCAGCCGUGGUGAUGGCAGCCGAGGAGGCCAGGGCAGCUCCCGAAGCCGGGCGUGGCCCUUCAGCCCAGGGGAAGGAGGGAGGGCUGUGGGGGGGUUCUCAGGGGCCCUUGAGUCAAUUCCUCUCCCUGUGCAGAAUUGCCUCCUUGUCCUCUGCGAUCUCAAUUCCUCUCCCACGCGUCCAGGCCCCUGGGAAGGACCCAGGACAGCUGUGACUCUGGAGGGGCCUUCAGGGCCACCUCCUCGAAGGCUUAGGAGAACCGAGGCUCCGGCCGUAGGAGCAGCACUCAGGGUGGGAGCAGCACUGGGGGGGCUGGUCCUGCACCGCCUGCCGCACGUGAUCUGGGUGCCAAGGAGCCUUCCUGGUUUGUUGGUCCCUCUUAUUUGCUGUGUCUCGUGGUGCCACCCCGUCCCAGAUAGGAAGGACUGCGUUCACCACCCGGUCUCUACAGCGGCCCUGCCGGGAAGCUGAGGCCCAGAGAGGCUGCCCCACUGGCGAGUGCUGUGCCCAGAUCCGAGCCCAGGUGCCGGGUCGGGCUCCAGAGCCUACCUUCCAAACCACUGCCUUCGAGUGCCGCUGCCUGGGGCGAGGGGCUCCAGGCAGGGUCGGAGGUGGUCUUGGGCUGAGUCAGGAGCCUGCCAGGUUCCAAGCUGGGGAAGGGCCCUGGCACGGGCAGAGCUGGCCGUGGCUUCUCCUCUGCGGCCCUGUUCUCGACAGUGUGGAAGGGCCCCUGGUAUUGUGGACCCUUCUGCAGCCCUUUGGGGCUCAGCCUGGCCUCAGAUCUGGGUCCUUCUGGCCUGGUGCCCACGUGGUAGGGAGGCUGUCUCAGCUGGGGUGAUGGCCGAGUGGUGGGCAGAGCAGUGUGUGCGGCGACCUGACCUCCAGCGGCGCCUCCCUCGGGCAGGGCCGCUCAUCUUCAUCCCUGUGGACGGUGUCACCGGUUUUUCUGGGGUUUGGACCCUGGAGAGGAGCAGUGCCUGGGGCCGCUUCUCCACCCCCAGUGGGAAUCACAGGCCCGGGGUCAGCGGGGGCUGUGGGUUCACGUGAAGGGGUCUCCUGGACACCCCCGGGCUCCCGCUGGAGCCCCUCCCAGCGUCCUACUUGGAUGGUUGACAUUCCCGGGGCUCGAGCCUUGGCACAGCUGCAGGACCGACGCCGGUGGCACCCCUUUCUCAGGAGACUCCUUGGGGUGGGGGCUCCUCUGGCCCCCCGCCCACCCUGGACACCUCUUGGACCUGUUCACGGAACCAGCCUUGUGGCCACAGCCUUUCUGCUUUCAAGUGUCCCUGGAGCCAGCCACAGCCGUGUCCCCUUUGAAGCGCUGACACUACUCCGUGUGGCACCGCAGAGCCUCAGUAAUGCCGCCUCCCUGACCCGGAAUCUUAAUGCUUCAGCCUCUUCUUGAUGGGAGUCUAGCCGUGCUCUCCGAAGGGAAGCUGAUCUACAGUGUCCUGUCACUUUUCUACUGCACAGCAAGGUGACCCAGUCACACAUACACGUACGCAUUCCUUUUUUCUCACAUUAUCAUGCUCAAGGGGUCAUGUCUGGCUUUGAAUGAAGCCCCAGCAAGGUGCCUCUCAGGAAUACCUGGUCUCAGUGUCCGGGAGUUCACCACGGGGCUUCUUUAAGGCGGCCUGAUCAGUUCCUGGUGGCCACCCCUCGGCCUGCAGCUCCCUGAGACCGAGGAUUUACUGCACAGUUCCCUGCCAAGCCACACCAGCUGAGAUCUGUUUAAAAAUAAAAAUAAAAUAAAGUAACAGCAGAAGAGCAUA
rnacentral:lncRNA from 1 species